CCGUGCUAGGCGGGGGGUUCGGGGUCCCCUGUACCGGAAACCCUCGAUACGCCGGGUCGACUACCCGUCUGCGGCCCGCGGAUGGCCGGGCAGCCCCCGGCAAGCGGCGUGGAUGGUCGGGUCCUGCGCGACCCGGAGCCGUGAACCCGGUCAGGCCCGGAAGGGAGCAGCCGUAAGCGGUGUACCGGGUGUGCCGCGGGGUCGCCCGGCCGGAGCCGGCUACCGGGAAAGCGCCGGCGGUUCGCAGGUCCAGGACGGGGCGCACGG
rnacentral:SRP_RNA from 1 species